rnacentral:rRNA from 1 species
ACCACUCCUACGGGAGGCAGCAGUGGGGAAUAUUGGACAAUGGGCGCAAGCCUGAUCCAGCCAUGCCGCGUGAGUGAUGAAGGCCCUAGGGUUGUAAAGCUCUUUCACCGGUGAAGAUAAUGACGGUAACCGGAGAAGAAGCCCCGGCUAACUUCGUGCCAGCAGCCGCGGUAAUACGAAGGGGGCUAGCGUUGUUCGGAUUUACUGGGCGUAAAGCGCACGUAGGCGGACUAUUAAGUCAGGGGUGAAAUCCCGGGGCUCAACCCCGGAACUGCCUUUGAUACUGGUAGUCUUGAGUUCGAGAGAGGUGAGUGGAAUUCCGAGUGUAGAGGUGAAAUUCGUAGAUAUUCGGAGGAACACCAGUGGCGAAGGCGGCUCACUGGCUCGAUACUGACGCUGAGGUGCGAAAGCGUGGGGAGCAAACAGGAUUAGAAACCCUAGUAGUCCC